CAGUCUGCGGGGGUGGGGGCUGCUGGGGGCGGAUGAAGCCGUCUUGGCUGCAAUGUCGCAAAGUCACGGGCGCCGGGGGGUUUGGGGGGCCCCUGCCGGGGUCCUCUUCGGCCCGCGGAGCCGGUGCAGCCCGGAGGGCUUUGGUGGCCCCGGGUGCGCGGGGCGGUCUCGGGGGCCUGGGCUGUCGGGCGCUGACCUCCGGCGGCGGCGAGUACAAGACCCAUUUUGCGGCCUCGGUGGCCGAUCCGGAGAGGUUCUGGGGCAAAGCCGCUGAGCAGAUCAGCUGGUACAAACCCUGGACCAAAACGCUAGAGAACAGAUACCCUCCUUCCACCAGUUGGUUUGUGGAAGGAAUGCUUAACAUUUGUUACAAUGCCAUCGAUCGUCAUAUUGAAAAUGGUAAAGGGGAUAAGAUUGCUAUCAUCUAUGACAGUCCUGUUACAAAUACUAAAGCAACUAUAACCUACAAAGAAGUACUGGAGCAGGUCUCUAAACUGGCUGGUGUUUUGGUUAAGUAUGGAAUCAAAAAAGGUGACACUGUGGUCAUCUACAUGCCCAUGAUCCCACAAGCAAUAUAUACUAUGCUGGCAUGCGCAAGGAUAGGAGCCAUCCAUAGUCUCAUAUUCGGUGGAUUUGCAUCUAAAGAAUUAAGCAGUCGCAUUGAUCAUGCAAAACCCAAGGUGGUUGUUACAGCAUCAUUUGGCAUUGAACCUGGAAGGAAGGUAGAGUACAUACCUCUUCUAGAAGAAGCACUAAGAAUAGGUCAACAUACACCAGACAAAGUUCUCAUUUAUAAUCGCCCGAAUAUGGAGACAGUUCCUUUGAUGCCAGGUCGUGAUCUUGAUUGGGAGGAAGAAAUGGCGAAAGCCCAAUCACAUGACUGUGUUCCUGUUCUUUCGGAACAUCCUCUAUAUAUUCUAUACACAUCUGGAACAACUGGGUUACCUAAGGGUGUGGUGAGACCCACUGGAGGAUAUGCAGUAAUGCUAAACUGGACAAUGUCUUCAAUAUAUGGCCUUAAACCUGGAGAGGUGUGGUGGGCAGCUUCCGACUUAGGCUGGGUUGUUGGACAUUCCUAUAUCUGUUACGGACCUCUCCUACAUGGGAACACAACAGUUUUAUAUGAGGGGAAGCCUGUGGGAACACCAGAUGCUGGUGCUUAUUUCCGUGUGCUUGCAGAGCAUGGAGUGGCUGCCUUGUUUACAGCGCCGACUGCAAUUAGAGCAAUCCGUCAACAGGACCCUGGGGCAGCCUUGGGGAAGCAGUACUCUCUGACAAGGUUCAAAACAUUAUUUGUGGCUGGAGAACGAUGUGAUGUGGAGACACUGGAAUGGUCCAAAAGGGUCUUCAGAGUACCUGUCCUAGACCAUUGGUGGCAAACUGAAACUGGAUCCCCAAUUACAGCAUCAUGCAUUGGAUUAGGUAACUCUAAAACACCUCCUCCAGGACAAGCAGGAAAAUGUGUUCCAGGAUACAAUGUUAUGAUUUUGGAUGACAACAUGCAAAAACUGAAGGCUCGAUGUUUAGGAAAUAUUGUGGUAAAGUUGCCAUUACCACCUGGGGCUUUUUCAGGACUCUGGAAGAAUCAGGAAGCAUUCAAGCAUUUAUACUUUGAAAAAUUUCCUGGCUACUACGACACCAUGGAUGCUGGCUACAUGGAUGAGGAAGGCUAUUUGUAUGUUAUGUCUCGAGUUGAUGAUGUCAUAAAUGUUGCAGGUCACAGAAUUUCUGCAGGUGCCAUUGAAGAGUCUCUCCUGUCCCAUGGUACUGUGGCAGACUGCGCUGUGGUUGGCAAGGAAGACCCUCUGAAAGGUCAUGUUCCCUUAGCACUCUGCGUAUUGAAGAAAGACAUAAACGCAACAGAGGAACAAAUUUUGGAAGAAAUUGUGAAACAUGUUAGACAGAGCAUUGGCCCUGUGGCUGCUUUUCGAAACGCAGUGUUUGUCAAACAGUUACCCAAAACCAGAUCUGGAAAAAUUCCACGAUCCACUCUAUCUGCCCUUGUCAAUGGCAAGCCGUAUAAGGUAACUCCUACAAUCGAAGACCCCAGCAUUUUUGGGCACAUAGAAGAAGUGCUGAAGCAGGCUUCGUGACUUUUUUUUUUUCUUUCAAUUUUGAGUUAAUGUUCUAGUUGGCAUUAUUUGAGCUAUUUUCCAGAAAUGAAUAUUUAAAUAGAAAUUACUUUCCAGCUGAAAUGUGAGUUGUAAAGCUUGGUCUAAAGUGGUCUAAGGAAGACUAGUGAAAGAUCCGUACUUUCUUGAUUUUUCAAAUUUGAUAUUGUUGUCAGUUGCCUGUAAAAUGACUCAUUAGGUGCUGUCUAGCACUUUAAGAAAAUCUAUUACAUGAUUUUUUUAAAAUUAUACUCCCUCAAAACACAUUAACCGAAAAUGACUCUCAUAUAGAUACUUCCUGAAGUUAAAAAUCUACAGCUUUGAUCUAUAUUCAAAUAUUCAAGUCAGAAAGCAAUUAAAAAUUUUCUCUUGUAGAAAUUUUGAAUAUGUCCUAAUAUUCUUCAGAUGCUCACGUUGUCUUAAAUGAAAUAGAUGAACUGGGAGUUUUAUGUAGUCAUUCAGACAGAAGAAUUGUAUUUUGGUAGGAGGACCUGUGUAAGCCACAUGUGAGAGGGAAGGCAGGUGGCCAGGGUUAUUGCUCUGCCUUCAGCUCAUCUGUCACUUUGGCAAGAGAAGUCACAGGUCUGGCAGAGAACCUGGAGUCAUUGGAUCCCAUCUUUUCAUCAUGGAGAUGUGGCCUCCUGAGAGGUCACCCUCGUGUCUCAGGUGCUUAGUUGACUGUAUACUUCUUAAUGACUCCAGCUUCCUAUGGAAUCAAGGAAACAGUAUACAAAUGGAGUAGAGUGGCAAGAAAAACUUUUAAGGAAGAACUCUAAAGGUUUUUUUUUUUCACUAGGCUAUAGAUCAAGGGACUUUCCAGGGAGUUUCUAUAACAUCAGUGCUCUUUUGAGUGGAAAUGAGCCUCAGCCUCUGCCGUGGUUGACAUUCACUUCCAGUGUGGGCUGGCAGUUCAAGUGAUUCAAAUAAGGCAGCGUAUCAGCUCCAUGUUGGGCCCAAGAGACCAGCCAAUUGUGGAUGGAGCUUUUGGGUCAAGGCAGUGAAUUAACAGCACAAGGUGAGCUGCUUGUACCUACUACUGCUUCCUGUCCUGCCCCUGGGCACACAUUUCAUUCUAAAUAUUGCUUUCAAAAGUUUUUCUUUUUUUCAAAAUAUUAAUUCCUUGAAAAUUCUAGAGUAUUCUGAUAUAGCAAUGUUUUAGGUCAAAAUAAUUUGUGAACAUUUGACACUAGGAAAAUAUGGUUUUACUUAUAAAACUAUUUUUCAAUAAAGUACCAUUUUUGUAUGGAUUUGGAAAUAGUUUCAACUGAUAUUUCUCUAAACACAAAUAUUCUGCAUACUAUAUAUAUAAGGUUUUGUGCUGUUUCUGUCCUCCAUUUUAUGUUAAUUUCAUUUGGGGCCUAUCUUACAGGCUCCAUAUACUUAAUAGAAUGCAUAAUUGUUUUCCACAAAUAUAAAUCACUGAUAAAAAGCAACAUACUGAAAGUUCAGUGUUUUCAGUUUCUACUUUUGUUUUAAUACUUCUAAAUCGUUUUCCUCUCUCUGCCACUAUUUGACACUAAGAACUUACUUAAAUCCCCAUCUGCCUACUUUGGCUACCUUAUAUAAAGUAGUCACUUAAAUGUUUAAUUUUUAGGUACCAAAAUCUUAUUAAUAAAAUGCUAGGGGAAUCAGUAUAAAAUUCUUUUAAAAAGUAGAAAACAGUAUGGUUAACCACGGGUCAAUGUGUAAUAACUGAAUGACGGGCCUCCAAUAGACAGACCUUCCAACCAGAUGGGCGGUGAUAGGAAACACCAAAUUAAGAGUUAAAAAGAAGAUUCCUUUCCCCUCUCUAUCAGUUCAAAGGGGUUAUCUCACGUCUGUACUGCUAGGCCAUACCAAAAGGCACAGUGUAUAUUUACUAGUCUAUGUAGGUUUCUUUUUUUUUUUUUUUUUUUUUUCUUUUGCUGGUUUGUCAGCCAAAGGGAAACUACUCACAGCAGGUCAGUGCUGCCUCCUUUGAGUGGCUUGUCAACAUGAGUAUGUGCGAACAGUGGAGUUGUCUAACCUCUGCAGUCUUGAUGAAGCAACUGCAAAUGGAGAAAAGGGCUUUAGAGGUUCUUGGAUGAUUGAGUACAAGAUUUCAGAUGAGAAAGAUUUCUUUUCUCUGCCUAAAGGGGUACUGAACAUAUUAGUAGACCUUCUUUGUUUCAGAUGUAAGCCACUCACAUUCCUCUUCUCUAGACCCAGUUGCUAAUAGAAUUUUAUCCCAAUGUAAUUUAUUGAACUUUCCAGUGGUUAUGUGUUCUUCCUUGGAAGAAAUCUUAACAAGAGAGUUCCCCAGGGUGCUUCUGUUUUUGUUGUCAAGAUGGCUUAGAGAAUUCAGAAUGGUAAACUGUGUUUUUCACCAAGUAUUGAGGAACUUCUGUACUAAUUUUAAUCAUGUUAAAUUCCUCAUGAAUUUUGCUAACAUGUUCCACAAUAUCAACAAGACAUAAGAAAUGUAAAGACAAUAGUUUAUGUUGAAACUAAUUUUAAGAACCAUAAAAGUUAUGACCUUGAAGAGAAAUAAUGAUUCUCAGUGGUUAAUAAUGAGAUAAUAUUUCUAUAAUAAUAUUUUUCUUUUAUUUAACAAACAAAUCAUUUUGUGACUACAAUUUUACUGUUGUCUCUCCAGAAUGACUGUUUUCCUUUGUGAAUUAUAUAUCAAAAGUCUAAUGUCCACAGAAGGAAAUUCUAUUGGGACAUUACUGUUGACUUUGUGUUUAAUUCUCUUCUCAUGACUGUGCUGGUUUAUUUAAGACCUUCUGCCUUGGUCAGAGGUAAAAAUUUUGAUGAGUCUGGAUUUCUAAGAAGAUAAAACUUGCAGUAUUUAAACAUGCAAGGUGUCGGUGAGGUUAAUUGUCAUUUACUAUGUCCAAAUCCAAUCUCUACCUUAAACAAAUUAUUUGCUUUGGGAAUGGAAGAGUAAAGAAAUGUAAGUCAUGCAGAUGUCUCUUAUUCUUCCUAGAUGUGGACAUUAGCCAAUGUCGAUCUUUUUAGGAUGUUUUAAAUCAUUUUAAAAAUAUGAAUAAAGUGCCAUGAUUUCAUGCAUUAGCAGUUUACAAAAGGGUCUGGCUUUUGAUGAAAGCAAAGUAAAUUUCAAGCAGAGCAAACCAACUCAAGAAAAGAAUUAAUUCCACAAAGCUACGCAAGGUUAGAGAAUUACACUUGCUUUUGCUUUAACAAGCAUUUAAAUUUACAAGCCAAAAUGCAAAGCUACUGUACCAUCCGUGGCCAUUUUCCUCGACUGCCCCGAUGUUGUGGUCAACCUAAAUCCAGCUGGCAGUGUUUCUGAGGAUCCAGGCAUCAUGCUGAUUCCAUGUACUUCACGAGGAGGAAACUGCCUUCUCCAGGUUGAGCCACGUCUAAAAUUCUUGUCAUCAGUCUGCAAGUACAGAGUUAGAAUAUGACGUUAUGCAAACAAUGUUAUUAGUCCAGGUACAUGAAGCUGGGUGCCUAGAAACUCAAAAAAGAUUAUUUGUAUUCAGUCCAUGGAGUAAACAAAUGGAACAGUUAUGGUUCAUCUCCAGAGUUCUAAGAUUCCAAAACAAAGAGUUAGGAGAGUUGAAGCAGAAAUAUAUUUCUAUGACUGUUCAUGUGAUUGCAAAUCUAAGGUUUGGCAUCUUUAAAGUAAACAUCUUUGAAAACCUAAAAUAAAAUCCCCAAGUAUUUUUCCAAAAGGAAUAUUGGAUAUAUUUUGUUACACUUCAUGCCAACUAGUUUAUGGAAUGAGAUAAUCUGUUUAAUUGAAUAAAUUGUUAAUCUGA